rnacentral:rRNA from 1 species
UGGCGAAUGAACAGGGUCACGCUCAGCAUCAAAAUCGGGGCCCGCGGGCCUGAGUUGUAGUCUCUGGAGGUGCUACCAAGAGAGGCGCUGCUGUACGUCUUUUGGAAACGAGCAUCAACGAGGGUGAGGGUCCCGUUUGUCAGCGGCAGCCAACUGUGCACGGYGCACACUCUAAGAGUCACGUUCCUUGGGAUUGGAGCGCAAUGUGGGUGGUAAGCUUCAUCUCAAGCUACACAUGGGCUUGAGACCGAUAGCAAACAAGUACUAUGAGGGAAAGGUGAAAAGCACUUUGAAAAGAAAGGUAACAGUACCUGAAAUCGCUGAAGAGGAAGUGAGCGAAGCCAAUAUGUCUUGGCGAGAUUGCUGCACACGCGUGCCAGUGCUUGCUGCGCCAGCACUUGUGUGGCAUUAAGCCCCGAGCAAGUCCUGCGCAGUGUUUCUUGCCUUGCCCACCAACGGCUCUCCAUGCUUGAGGACGCUUUCAAGGAUACGGUAGCUCCACCCCAUGAAGCGAAUAUUUUUGGUUGUACUCAUGUGAGGGGUGCACGGAGAGUA